AGACCGUAGAGCACUAUAAAAUUGAAAGAGAUAAAAGCCCUAAGUAGCAUAGAUGAAAUUGAGCUCUCGUAUCACUGUAUGAAAUCAAAGCAGAAUUUAAACGGAGUGGUGAAGUUACCAUUUUUCCCUUCACUUUGGUGAAGAGAGAAUUGGAGUCUAGAUAUCUUGCUCUAUGCGGAGAGGGAAAAAAUACUGGGAAGCGAUAACAAAGACGUUUCAAUUACGCUUUCAUCUCUGGAUCUCUGGCUUACAUCAACU
rnacentral:lncRNA from 1 species